AGAGGUUAGUCGUCAGUGGAGGGAACUUAAACAGCUGGUAAGCAUCACAGGUUAGAGAAACGUUUACGAAAGGAUGAUACUUCAUGGCUAUCGGUCGAUUAUCAGAGCAUUUUAGUGGAUUACUGAAUAAAACCAAACGUUUUUUCCAAGACGAUGAGUACAGAGGGCUCCUCCAGGGGCUCAUGGAGAGGAGGGAGCAAUGGAGGGAGAGGAUCUGGUAACGCAUGGAGGGGAGGAGGAGGGAGUGGAUGGAGAGGAGGAGGAGGGGGUGG